UAUUAUUUAUGUUAACAUGUAAUGGCUUUAUUGCUUUUUAAAUGAAACGUUCAGAAAUUUAAGAGUCAACAAUGCCACCAUUACUGCUGUCAAAGUCCUUCAGUGAUUAAAAAGAUACCAGAAAGAUACCCUGAUCCCUUGAUCAUCUGGUGGUGUUAAACUACUUCAGUAAGAACAAAAGAUGUGCUUUCCAAGGGUGGAGACAUCCAACUUGUAUUCAGUUCCCCAUUACAUUCUGGAUUUGGGUCAAUGAAAGAAGCAUCCAUUGGGGUGAUAGCUAAGGCGUGUCCUCGCCACAUAUCAAUGAGAUUUCUGGAGGGGAGUAGUGUGGGAAAGUGGUUAUAACAUUGCGCAAGCAGAUGUCAGAGAAUUUCUGAAAGACAGGGCUAUCUCUAGAAACUCACUGUAAGUAAGGAGACAAUUAACACUUUUGAAGCCCAUUUAUCCCUGAUGGUCAAUUACACACUAAGAACUUCCUUUUUUUUUUUUUUUUGAGACUGAGUCUCGCUCUUUCACCAGGCCGGAGUGCAGUGGCACUAUCUCAGCUCACUGCAAGCUCCGCCUCCUGGGUUCAGGCCAUUCUCCUGCCUCAGCCUCCCGAGUAGCUGGGACUACAGGCACCCGCCACCGCGCCCAGCUAAUUUGUUGUAUUUUUAGUAGAGAUGGGGUUUCACCGUGUUAGCCAAGAUGGUCUCGAUCUCCUGAUCUCGUGAUCCACCCACCUCGGCCUCCCAAAGUGCUGGGAUUACAGGCAUGAGCCACCGCGCCCGGCCAAGAACUUCCUUUUAAGAUUUGCCCUGAAGGGCCCUAGAGCAUUUCCUCUUCCAUGCAGAGAAUCAGAAAGCUUGGAUUCUAGCUCUAGCUCCCAACAAUUAGCUGUAUGUAAUUGAUGAUGGGUGACUUCAUUAGUGUCAAAGCCAAAGCAUAUUCUCUGUCAGCUUUUCAAAAAAACACGCAGUAAAGAGAGAUUCCUACCAGGAAAACUUUGAUGGGUGUUUUUCAAGUGUCAUCUCACAGCAGAAGAUGCCCCAAGUGGUCAAACCUUGCCAACAGCUUCAAAAAAAGGUAACUAGGAUUUAACUUUACGGUGCAUUUUGAUGUUUCCCUUUGUGUCAUAUCUGAUGAUAAAAGAACCUUAAAAAAAAAAAAAAAAAACACUAUCCAGCUUCUCCAUUCUGUCUCCUGCUUUACUUUCUCUUGUUUACAAAAUACAAAUUUAUAGCUGGAUUUGAUGCUGAAAAUUUAAUACAGUUACCUCAUGUCACAGAUAAAGAACAGAAAUGACUUGACCAAGUUCAC
rnacentral:lncRNA from 10 species